CUAGGAUCCUGACAGAGUGCAGAAAACUGACUUCUAAUGAGCACAUUGAAGAGCUCUUGUAUUCGCAGCACGACACAGGCUGGGACAGUGACCUGUCAAGCAUUCUACUGUUGCUUCACUUGCUUCCACCUACCUCCAAAGGCCACAAGAAGAGUGCCAAAAUCAGCUCAUGUCAAGCUGUGGACCAUGUUGUGAGAUAUCUGCAGAUGGGAGCCAGUGUCGAAACCUUCCUUGCUGGUGUGGAACCGGGACAGCCCUUCCUCCUGUGUGUUGGUGAAAACAAGAGCAGCAUCCAAAGAUACUACAUCAUCAUUGAUCACAAGGCCGUCCCUUGCAAGGCACAGACCUCCUUGGCAGCUUUCGAUGAGCUCUUCAAGGCACACUUCAUCUUCAGCGUCAACUACCAUGAAUCCCUCUAUAACUUC